ensembl:lncRNA
UUUCUAUUUAUGGUUAAACUAUACUAUAAAAUCAGACUCCAUAUAAGAAUUGCUGGUAGGUUUGAAAUGAGAGCUCUUAAUACUAAUUUGUAACCCUAACAAAAGAAGUCAUAUUGUUAGAGUUAUGCAUGCAAGGAAAUGAAAGCAGGGAAAGGACAAAGAAAAAUGAAAACUGGACAUCAAGUAUGUCAAUUACAGAAACCAAACCAAUUAAAAUGGGGGCAAAUUUCUUAACCUACACAAGGCACUUUGAACUUAAUUGAUAAUGCCACUUGUACAAAAUUAAUAUCACGAUGUACCCUCGUCUAUGAUCUACAAUCAUUAAAUUAUUUAACCUAAAUCAAGUAAACUUCUGUAGAUGAACCAGGCAUGCACAAAGAAAAAAACACACACACACACACAUUUACUGCAAUGGAAGCCUUUUUUCAAAUAUGACAAUUAAAAAUAAUAAUAUUAAAGAUAAUUACAAAUUGAACAUACCAUAUAUACUGGUGCUAGUGAUCAUGUCUUCAAGCCUAAAAACAAGAGGAGAGGGAAAACAGCAGAAACGGAAUUUUCACGAGGAGGAAUUCCAAAGGUUGCUUCUCAUUACAGCCACUUUUUGCUCAGCUAUCGGAUUUCACAACUUUCAAAACGCACGGUCCCCUUUUCUUCCUGUAGGUAUUCAUUUAGAGCGUAUAAUUAAGAAUAAUAAAAACGAAGAAGAACGCAUCGUGCGACUCAUAUUUUUCGAAGCAAAAAAAAAAGAAAAGAAAAAAAGAAAAAGCCCUGGAAGGAGACGCAAAAGCCACACAGGCGCGGCUGGAGGCUGUCACUUCUUGCGCGAGUUGAAACAAGAGAAUAGGAAGCAUGUGAGAGACUGUGGAUGACACAAAACACACAUUCUUCAUGCCGCCCAUUAGAGGAAGAGGCUAAACCAGCGUGAUGCCCCCUCCCUUUACUUUUAAAAUAGAUUACUUGCCAGCAGUUGUCCCACUAAGCGCGCAAUGACAACCCAUCUAUUAACCACCCGCCUGCGGUUAUCGCGGCAAGUUUUAUUCAGGCUGACAUGCAAAAACUUCUCGUUGCAGGGAAGUUAUUUUGGAGACUGGAUUCAGCCGUGCGUGUAACCUUCGCUUCACACAACGGAGUGUUGCACGUUAAUUGUAAAGUCCCUUUCCAACUUCAUAAUCUUCUUUUGGUAUUUUCUAAAGCAGCGGCCG